rnacentral:lncRNA from 1 species
CAACACCUCCUGUUUCUUAUUUGGGUCUGUUUUAGGGUGAGUCUAGUUUGGGCAAAUCUCCUUUUUCCCAAUGCACAUAUUUGUGGACUGCCAGCUUACAUACCAAGUGGAUUAUUAGAAAAAAUCCACUUCACAGCUCUGGCCCCUAGAGUGGUGUCUGAUUCUUACAAGACUUAGGUCUUGUAAACCCUAAGUUUACCUCUUCUCUUCAUCCUACUGGGAUCCCACGUGGGGCUGUGUUGACAAGAUUGUGCCACGUUGGGCAAGUUUUGACCACACACUUUCCCAGGCACAGUGAGGCAAGUGUGGGUUCAGCUGGCUGCUCCUAGGCAGUUGAUGGUACUUGGCAUAUCAAGGGUUUCUGUUAUGCU